AACGAACGCUGGCGGCGUGCCUAACACAUGCAAGUCGAGGGAGAAAGCCGCAAGGUGAGUAAACCGGCGAACGGGUGCGUAACACGUGGAUAAUCUGCCUGAGUGACCGGGACAACUGGCCGAAAGGCUUGCUAAUAUCGGAUAAGCCCACGGAGUCGAAGGACUCUGAGGGAAAAGGUGGCCUCUGUAUACAAGCUAUCGCACACAGAUGAGUCCGCGGCCCAUCAGCUAGUUGGCGGGGUAAAGGCCCACCAAGGCAACGACGGGUAGCUGGUCUGAGAGGAUGAUCAGCCACACUGGAACUGAGACACGGUCCAGACUCCUACGGGAGGCAGCAGUGGGAAUCUUGCGCAAUGGGCGAAAGCCUGACGCAGCAACGCCGCGUGUGUGAUGAAGGUCUUCGGAUCGUAAAGCACUGUCGCGAGGGAAGAGAAGCUCCGGAACAACAAGCCGGAGCUCGGACGGUACCUCGAGAGGAAGCACC
rnacentral:rRNA from 1 species